UAAUUUAAUGUAGUUUCAUAGCGUAUAACCUCAAUUAUAAGGUUUGAGGGUCUCUACUUGGAACCGAUAAAUCCUAACUACGUUAAAAACUUUAUGGUAG
rnacentral:ncRNA from 2 species